CCCUGUGAACAUACCACUUGUUGCCUCGGCGGAUCAGCCCGCUCCCGGUAAAACGGGACGGCCCGCCAGAGGACCCCUAAACUCUGUUUCUAUAUGUAACUUCUGAGUAAAACCAUAAAUAAAUCAAAACUUUCAACAACGGAUCUCUUGGUUCUGGCAUCGAUGAAGAACGCAGCAAAAUGCGAUAAGUAAUGUGAAUUGCAGAAUUCAGUGAAUCAUCGAAUCUUUGAACGCACAUUGCGCCCGCCAGUAUUCUGGCGGGCAUGCCUGUUCGAGCGUCAUUUCAACCCUCAAGCCCUCGGGUUUGGUGUUGGGGAUCGGCGAGCCCUUUGCGGCAAGCCGGCCCCGAAAUCUAGUGGCGGUCUCGCUGCAGCUUCCAUUGCGUAGUAGUAAAACCCUCGCAACUGGUACGCGGCGCGGCCAAGCCGUUAAACCCCCAACUUCUGAAUGUUGACCUCGGAUCAGGUAGGAAUACCCGCUGAACUUAAGCAUAUCAAUAAGCGGAGGAA
rnacentral:rRNA from 1 species